rnacentral:rRNA from 1 species
AACACGUGAGUAACCUGCCCUUGACUCUGGGAUAAGCCUGGGAAACUGGGUCUAAUACCGGAUACGACCAUCUGGCGCAUGUCAUGGUGGUGGAAAGCUUUUGUGGUUUUGGAUGGACUCGCGGCCUAUCAGCUUGUUGGUGGGGUAAUGGCCUACCAAGGCGACGACGGGUAGCCGGCCUGAGAGGGUGACCGGCCACACUGGGACUGAGACACGGCCCAGACUCCUACGGGAGGCAGCAGUGGGGAAUAUUGCACAAUGGGCGCAAGCCUGAUGCAGCGACGCCACGUGAGGGAUGACGGCCUUCGGGUUGUAAACCUCUUUCAGUAGGGAAGAAGCGAAAGUGACGGUACCUGCAGAAGAAGCGCCGGCUAACUACGUGCCAGCAGCCGCGGUAAUACGUAGGGCGCAAGCGUUAUCCGGAAUUAUUGGGCGUAAAGAGCUCGUAGGCGGUUUGUCGCGUCUGCUGUGAAAGACCGGGGCUCAACUCCGGUUCUGCAGUGGGUACGGGCAGACUAGAGUGCAGUAGGGGAGACUGGAAUUCCUGGUGUAGCGGUGAAAUGCGCAGAUAUCAGGAGG